UCGCUGCUGUUAUUGUGACGGCUAGCUCAACAACAUUAUUAGUAAGAGGUCGUCUAGCUUUAUUCAUGGAAGUGAAACGUAGGUCUUGACAGUAUCUAACUAACCCAAUAGUUAACAAUGAAUUUGCAGGUGCGAUUAUCUUCUAACUUGGCGAGCUCCAAGCCUUAGCCAAGCGAGUUGGCCGAUUAGCCGCUAAUGGGACGCGGUAGACGUUAGCAAGGCCUUGCUGUGACGCACUACUAGGACUGAGCAGGAGACCUUUUGAAGUUGUUUAUAUCGUUCUUGUUGGCUAUUGUUACCGUGAAGGGCAACAGAAGAAGGCAAUACACCUAGAUCGUUUGGAAAGGUCCAUGGACAACGAUGCGAUUGGAGCUUAAUUUAACAAUACGAAACGCAUUCGACGAGUGAUACACGGUGAUGACAGUUCUACCUAAGGAAAGCGAUGGUUAUGUUUUUCUAUGUAACAUGACGUAGAAACCACAAUGCCAUAACGGCACAUGUAUGCGACGUAUGCUGCCGAAGACGACGCAAGCAAGUCCUAAAAGAGAUAAUGCUCUUUCUUUCGGCGAACACCUUAAUAAUGUUGGCUCAUAGUAAGUAGGUAACUGGGGGCAGGAAAGUUCAAAGAUCUCUUUAAAGUUAAUUUUGCAGUGUGUCGCAGUGAACUGCCAGUUUUCAGUUGACCGUUAUUCAGAAAUGUUGGAGCAUGGGCGGUGGGUAACGCCUUCGUUCUUACGAACUAACUUGAUUGCUGACACCAACCAGCAGCCAUGCUUUAGUCCCCGUAUGGACAUUGGCUGUAGCAAAGGCGAUGACGUACACGAUACUAUCGACGGAGCGUCAUCGCUAUGAGCUGUCCGCUGAGUUAGCGUGGAAAUAGCUGCUGGCCAUCAUGCUAUGCCAAGGUGAAUGCGACCGCCGCGCUGGAUCAAAAUAAAGUUAGAAAAAAGAUUGUGGGGGGUAGCGCAAAUAACAAAAUAUCAAUAUUUGAGAAACGACUUUUGUAGAAUAGG